UACGGGGGGGGCAAGCGUUGUUCGGAAUUACUGGGCGUAAAGGGUUCGUAGGUGGCUUGCUAAGUCAGACGUGAAAUCCCUCAGCUUAACUGGGGAACUGCGUCUGAGACUGGUGAGCUUGAGUGCAGGAGAGGAACGCGGAAUUCCAGGUGUAGCGGUGAAAUGCGUAGAUAUCUGGAGGAACACCGGUGGCGAAGGCGGCGUUCUGGACUGCUACUGACACUGAUGAACGAAAGCCAGGGGAGCAAACGGG
rnacentral:rRNA from 1 species